GACAGAGGCCCCGAGCGUUAGGCGGAAUCACUGGGCUUAAAGCGUGUGUAGGCGGAUCGUUAAGUGCCUUGUGAAAUCCCAUGGCUUAACCAUGGAACUGCUUGGCAUACUGGCGAUCUUGAACCACUUAGGGGCAACCGGAACAAAUGGUGGAGCGGUGAAAUGCGUAGAUAUCAUUUGGAACGCCAAGGGUGAAAACAGGUUGCUGGGAGUGUGCUGACGCUGAGACACGAAAGCCAGGGGAGCGAACGGG
rnacentral:rRNA from 1 species